GGGUCAGUAGGUUGGUCGUGCCACCGGUACGUACUGGUCUCACUGAUUCCUCCUUCCUGAAGAACCGUAAUGCCAUUAAUUUGGUGUUGCGGGGAAACAGGACUGUUACUUUGAAAAAAUUAGAGAGGUUAAAGCAAGCUAACGCUUGAAUACAUUAGCAUGGAAUAAUGAAAUAGGACGAUCGAUCCUAUUUUGUUGGUUUCUAGGAUUGACGUA
rnacentral:rRNA from 1 species